GAGGAUGAGCAGGAGGGAGAGGAGGAGGAAGAGCAGGAGGGAGAGGAGCUUUACCUGCAAAGAAAAGGAGCACACAAGAAAUCGAAUCGUCGAACUCUUGAGUGCCUUCUUUGUGGCCGAAAAUCAAAGUAUCUUCCAAAGCAUUUGAGAAGAGUCCAUCAUAUUCUUAAUGAAGAAUUCCUACAACAAACCAUGUGCUCUGCAAGAUUGAAGUUAGUCAUUUAAUUUAUAUUUUUUUCAUUUUUUAAAGUAUACUUAAAGUAAAAAAAUAUACAUGCCAUUGUUCUGAGAUUAAGAAUUUUGAUACUUGCAUUUAGAUGCAUAUCUAAUUUUUUGUAUUCAGAUUUUGUAUUCCAUUUUUUAAUUAUUCUAGUAUUCAUUAUAUAAAUGCAGAUUUUAUGAAUAAUAUUCUUUUCUAUUUUCAAACACUAAGUGGUCUGAAUGGGUGAGUUAAUCAAACGCUUCAUUAUAUAGUUUGCUGCUUAUCAGUCGUUAAUGAAAAUCACAGUAUAUAGCCUAUCUUCUGUUAACCAAAGAAUAUGAGUUAAUAAGGAUGUUUUUUUCUUUUUCCAGAUGGUUUCUAUCCACUGAAUUUUUUAUUCAAACAUUUAAUUGUAUAUCUUUUAUGUUGAAUUUUAAAUAUGUAAAUUAUGUUCACUCUUAACAAAUCCUGUUGACUGUAUAUAUUCUUAAUGAUCUUUGUGAAUAUGAUGAUAAUUAUAUUUCCCUUGUGUGGUAGGUAGGUAUAGGCAACUGCUAAAUCCAUGUGUAUGACAAAAUCACCUACUGUAUGUUCAAAUAUUAAAAACAUUUUGUUACUAUAAUUUCUAAUGAUUGAUGUUUAGUGUCCAUGUAUACACAAGUAUUUUGUAAUUUGUAAAUUCAUUCUAAUCAUUUAAUCUAUUUGUGAUUCAUAGAAUUCUACCAUAGUGCAAUGGCUAGAGCAUCAGCAUGGAUUGGCACAAAUCUCGGGUUCUAUCCUGAUUGAUUGAAAUUUUGAAAUCAGUUAUUUUUUUAUAUUU